AACUGAAACCCCUAUCAUUAUCUUCCAUUUUAUCAUAUUCCUACAACUCUCUCAAAAUUAUUCACAUCAUGUCAUUUACCGGCGACUUACGUCAUUUGCCGCCCAACACAAUCGGAGAUGAUCCUAUGGUUCCACUGCUCAACCUCUCCGCCGUUCAAACACGAAUGGAUUCCCUCCAGAAAUUUCUCUCAGAUUCGGUCAACUCCAAUACUUUACUUGGUCAACACCAGAUGAACAUGGUUUCCGACGAAAUCACCUCCGCAAUCCAUCAGAUUAUUGUCAACGGCGCCGCUCUACUCUCAUCUGCCCAGUUGACAAAUCCUCCUCCGCCUCCGCCUCCGCGGCCGUCGUCGUCGGCUGAAUUGAAAAUAAAUCUAAAAUCGAAUCAUAAGAGAUCGUUUCCGGAAUUUGAUCGGAGAGAUUUCGAGUCGAAAGUAGAGGUAUUAGACGAAGAAGAGGAAGACGGUGGCGAUUGGGAGAUUAUUGAGCUAGAUGCGGUUGAGCUACUAGCGGAGCACAUCCACUUUUGUGAUUUCUGCGGAAAAGGAUUCAAACGAGAUGCGAAUUUACGGAUGCAUAUGAGAGCUCAUGGAAAUCAGUACAAAACACCAGAAGCAUUAGCAAAACCUGAAAAAUGCAUCGAUUCAUCGAAUUCGAAUAAACGAAGGAGAUUUUCGUGUCCUUUCAUCGGUUGUACCCGCAACAAAUCGCAUAACAAAUUUCGGCCAUUGAAAUCGGCGAUUUGCGUUAAGAAUCACUUCAAGAGAAGUCACUGUCCCAAAAUGUACUCAUGCACUCGUUGUAACAAAAAAAGUUUCUCCGUACUCGCAGAUUUGAAAAGCCAUUUGAAGCACUGUGGAGAGACGAAAUGGAAGUGUUCUUGUGGUACGAGCUUUUCCCGG
rnacentral:misc_RNA from 1 species